AGUUGGGGGCCAUACAUGGGGGCAGCGGCAGCAUGAUUCAUCCUGAAACCGCGGCGCCCGGGCAGAGCCUGGCAUAUAAUCAGUUUCCAAUCAACAUGUUGCUGACUGAACGACUGAACCACUGGUUGUCUUACGCGGCUUCCCCCAGGAACCGCAGCACCGGGAGGAGCGCACAAGAGGAGACAGGACUACUUCUCUGGUCCAAACCCCAGCAGAGCGGGAAAUAGCAGCCAGGGGCAGACAGUCGUUCCCAGGCACACAGCAACCACUCAAUGACCACUGGAGAAAUGCAAUGUGCUGCCCCUUGGUGCCCUAGCUAUUACCCAGAGAGCUCGGCAGAGCUCACACACCCACUGUGGCAAUACCUGCUGCCCCUCCCCGCCGGGUCUGCGUUUCCCGCCGCCGCCGGCCAUUCUGUAGUCGCAGUGCCUGUGGGGUCCCGCGUCCCGCCGUUGCUUCCGAGCGCCGCCAACUGCUUCCGGUUCAAGAGACACCAAUCAGAAACCCUGUGCUGCCAGGGCCACGCCAGAGGGAAAAGCCUCCACCGUUGCCCCGCCCCGCCCCGCGAGGCUCCAGAGGAGGAGGGCAGAGGCCCCGCCCACUUUCCCACCGGGCACGGGGGGCGGUGCCGCUUAGAUCCACCCUUAUUGCCUCACCGCGCAAGCUGCUGUCGCGCAGACUAGCUGCAGGGAUGCUCCUGAGACUCCACUGUACCGAAUUUGGAUCCGUUAAGAGAGAGAGAGAGAGAGCACAAGAGUAACAUGGGUCAAUCCCAUGACCCUGGGAUCAUGACCUGAGCUGAAAUCAAGAGUUGGAUGCUCAACCGACUGAGACACCCAAGAGCCCUUUAAGGAGAGAGGGUGAGGAGGAACUUUUUGAUGAAUUACACCAAAGAACAUUUGUAUAACAAUGGUCUGUAGAGCACUGGAAAGGCGUCAUGAUAAUUUGUAGGAAUCAUCUCUGUUUUCACAGAUGAAGAAAUGGAGGCCAAAAGUCAAUAACCUGUCUAGUUUCACACAGCUGAUCAGUGGAAAGACUGGGGUUUGAAUUCUGAUCUGUUUGACAGUUUAUGGGAAGAACAUAUGAGUGAGCGUAUGUGUAUGUGUCUUGUAAGCUCAUUUCUAAUCAGCCCCUGGGAAUGCUGGAUCUGAGAAACACUUUGUCCUUCUGAGGAAAAAAACCCUUCCCAGGUGACUGCUCAUCAUGCACAGGCGGGUGAUAUUGAGGACCAUGACAAUGGUGAAGGCCACAAGGCAGACGACCAUGUAGUAGACGCCCAUGUCUCCAGAGGUAAAGAUGACUCUCAGGGUCACCGUGUUGUUCACAGUGCCAUGGAUGUUAGAAGCAACACAUGUGUAUUUACCUCGGUCUGAAAAAGACACCUUGGUGAUGUUCAGGAGGCCGCUGUCAUGCAUCUGCCAUUUUCCUGUGGGAAGGAAGGGGGGAAAAUUCAACCAAGGACACACAGGUCAUAUUAAAGUGUCUACAAACUCUCACAUUACUAAAAACAUCUACUGCCGCCACUGCUACUACUACUACUGAUACCGACAGUGAACAAUUACUACGUGCCAGCCAGUGACACAGUGACGUGUGUUAAUGCUUUUCAUCUCCACAACGACUCUGUGAGGUUGGUACUCAUACUGGCUCCAUUUCACAGGAUGAAGAAACUAAGGCACGGUUAGAUAAGCCCACCUUCCCAAGGUCACCAGUUUGGAAGAAGUGGGAGAGCAGAUGAACUCAGGGUCGAAAGGCUAUACUCUGAACCCCCAAGCCAUGCUAUGUAAUUCUACAGCCUCGUGAAAAGUAGGAAAAAUAAACAAUCUGGAAAAUACUGCGCUCUUAUUAAAGAAUUCCUUAAACAUAGCAUCUGGUUUUCUAACCUGCCCACGAGCAUGACGCUAUUGAAAAUAGAUGUUCAUUGAGGGAGUUUAAUGCUUCUAAGAAUAUAAAGUAUUUUAGGAUCAACAUAAAGUCUGGAGUAAGCCAAUUAAAUUAUAAUUGUUUACCUGGGUUUCUCAUAUUUGAGGUUGAAGUUAUCCUUGUAUGACCUCAGUUAAUUCAAGCAUAACAUGUCAUUAAUUUUGAGAAUUUAUGAUGAAUUGUUUAUAGCACUUAAAAGUUACAAGCUAACGAUGUGAACAUUCAGAGGCUGGGUAUGAAUUAAUACCAAUUUAAUGUUUUAGCCUUGCAAAUAAAUUAUAGACCCAUCAAGUCGAAAAUAAGCCUCACAUAAUGGAGAAUGCAUGUUGAUAAGUGCAGUUCUAUUUCCUUCUCUGGCCUGGAAAGGAGCUAGUGUUGCCCCAGGGAUGAAGUUCUGAAUCAGGGGAAACUCUUUCAUUGGGAUUCAUUCUUUGUCUGCCUCUGUACCCACAGAUCAUUAGAGGUUUGGCUUCUAGGUCCUGGGUCUGAGGCUUUCUGAAAGCCUACCUAUACUGUCCUAUAGAGAUGGAAGGGUCCAGGACAGCUCUCUUGGGAGCUCUGAGGAGCAGACAGGGAGAUAUUUCUCCAUAAAAGCACUCCGGCUCCACAAGCCAACUAGAGGAGCCUCUCCUGAGAGAUGGAGCAGUUCAACAUGUAGUUUUCCUUUUAAGUACCUAUUAUCGAAUUGUAUUUUCACUUGUUUCUUCUCCUUCUGGCAGUGACUUCUAAUUCUAUUUAAAAAUCUGAUAUUUCCCAAAAGCAACAAGCAACUUGUUCCCCUCCUCCCCCCCCUUUUAAACUUGUGAACAUGUGACUACAGUCUCAGGGCACUAUGGACUGAAGCAAGAGAGGGCCUUCUUCAUUCCAGCAUCUUCUACUCCUAGGAACAUCCUUAAGGAAGCUAGGGUGGAGCCGUGAGGUGCCUUCUGGGGACCUGCGGCCCCUCCUACCUGCUAGGCACGCUGGAUCUGGCAGGAUGCCUCUUGUAGGUGCUGUCCUAUUACUCUUUCUGAAAGAACAUCUGUGAAGAGUGGUUCCUAGUGUCCCUGAGUAACCCUUUUCUAACAAUUCGGCCAGUAUCUUUUCCCCAAGAGUAGAAAACACUGGUUUGGAAAAUCUAGUGAAUUUUUGGUUUCUUGUGAAUGUGUGUCAACCGACAAACCUAAGCACCCAGUCUGUGAAAUCUCUCGUUUAGAUUGGGCAGGCCUUCCACUCCCUUCAUUCCCCGAACGUGGAUUUUGAUACUUCGGCUGCAGGUUUGUCCAAAUGUAGAAAUAAUCUGGGGCAAGGGAAUCAAUGUAUUAUCAAUUUAUAUUUUUAACAUGUGCAUGUUUCAUAAAGGUGGACUACAGCGGGCAUAGGCAAACUCGAGUUGACUGGAAACUUAUUACGGAUGUGGAAGGCAUUUGGUUCCAGAAAAUUACAGACUAUACUUGUAGGAGUUUCUCAAAUUUACCUUCUUUCUUUUGUUGGAAAAUAUAACAGGAACUAGGAUGGAAGAAGGUGAGGUGAGGUUAUUUAUAUGGGGAGUGGUAAGGGUCAAAUUGUUCAACUCCUAACCUCCCAUGGCCAUUCCUUUUAUGGAGGAAUUACCUCCAAAGUAGUCUGAACCUGGGAGUAGCAGAAGAGCAGAAAAGACCACUAAACUAAGAAGGCAGGUAUCUGAUGGUAUUAUGAACAGCUUCUCUUCACACCUAAAUAAUAAUUUUAGUGAUCACUGUAUUCUGUUAUGGGUCACAAAGCAAGUCUUUGGUAGCCAACAGACACACACGUAUGUGCGCACACACACACACACACACACCCCUUCCAAAGACUAUAAUGUCACAGGAGCUAAGGUUAUCACCUCAAAGGUGAUGUAAGUCUGUAUCACUUCUUUUUUAAAGGCUGAUACUAAGACUCUACAUAUUUCCUCUCAGUCUCAGCUUGACCGCUGGUUAGUGAAAAAUAAAGAUUUCUGUGUGUUCUACCACCAGAUGCAGCCCUGAAAACAAUGAAGAUGGCAUAGAUUGCACUUUGUGGUCCUCCCACAUCAGCUCUGCACCCAGGCUCACGAAGAAUUUCCAUAUAGAACCCAUCCAGCUGGGAUCAUCUUGAGAACGUUUUCUGUCUUGCACGUUACCAUUUGCCUAGUCUACAAAUAUCUUGCCCUGAGACUCAUUCUGGAAGGGUCCUGGCUUUAGCUUUAACUUUACUUAAGAAAACAAGAACACCCACAAUGACUGUCAUAGGAAACCAUCAGUGCUCUUCAUGAACUGCCAUAGGACCUUCCCACAGGUUUCCUCUCUGCCUGGAAAGCUCUCCUCCCUCCCGCCUCCAAGCCUUGCCUCACCCCUUCUUAGCCCAGUUCAGACACCAUCUCGCUGUCACCUCGCUACCUGAGAAACCUUCUCUGACCCCUGACUAAACCAGUGAAGAAAAUCAGAAAGUCCAGAAGCAGAUGCCGGUCAAGAAGAGCCCAAGGCUAAGGGGAGACAUGACCGACUUCCAUUGGGGAAUGCAGCCAGAGAACACGACCUGUGUACUGGCACGUUUCCCCAUUCCACGCCAUGAAGCAAUUCGAUGUCAACUUGCUAUGGAGUCAAAUGCGACAAACUCUGAGAGCUCCAGUCGCGAGGCGGCGGCUUGCUGCACCCACAGCUUCCCGCACUCCUGCAGCAUCAGGACGCGGCACUCUCUCGGCUCUGGGCGCAGAACCCAAACUCCGGGCCUCCCGGCCACGGGACAGUACACCCUACCCCCGUCCCGGGGAAACUGAGGCACGGUGACCCAAGCGAUCUGGAGUCUGGCGAAGGCCCCCGCCGCUGCUUGGCGUUCUAGUGGCCCCGGAGGUUUGGGAGGCUCCUCGGCAGCACACUGUAGACACCGCGCUCCUCACCGUAGGAAGAUUAUGGCACAAACCCAAGAGGUGGCUGUCCCCAACCCACCGGCCCCCGGGAUCCCGCCCCGCACGGAUCUCGAAGCAUCCUGCGACCCCCCCCAGGAGCCCGCUUCUGGGACCUCGCGGCGCCUCCAGUGCGCAGCCUACGCCUUGGGCUUCGCCAGCCUAAGCGCCCGAAAGUUCCGCGGCCCCAGCGUCCGCAGCGACCCGGCCGCCCACCCCGUGCGGGGCUCCCUGCCACCCGCGCCCAGUCGCCCCAUGCUGUCCCGGCGCCCCUGCUAACCUGACGCCGCCGCGCCACUCAGGUGGCCGCCGUGCGCCUCUCGCCAUGGCCAGCCUGCGAGCUGUCGCCGCUCCGCGCCCCGCGCCCGACGCCCGGCAGCACCGACUGCGGGCGAGCCGCCUCCGCCAGCGCCUGGCAGCGAUGCGGGCUGCGCCGCGGGCGGCCGAGAGUGCGGAGCUUCCCACCUACAGGAGCCGGAGCCGGCCGGUGCCGAGCAUGCCCAGUGCGGCUCGCCGGGCGGCGCGGAGGCACGGGGCCAGGCGGGGUGUCGCCGCCGGGUUUUCGCUGCAGCCACCGGCGCGGGGCGGAGCUGGCGGCGCCGGGCGAACCUGUGGGAGCUGCGGGACACGCCCGCAGAGGAGUGGGGCCGGCUGGGGGCGCGGAGUCCCUCAUUCAGUUUGCGCAGCCUCCCGGGGUGGGACUCCGCCGGCCCCGGGGCCCCGCUCAAGCACGUCUUGGGUGUUGCUGGAGCCGAGGGCACUUAUUUCCGACGCUGUGGUGCUUGGGCAGCGUGACUGAUAAUUGUCAGGGGUCAGGGCGCUCCCAGGGCUUCCAGCGCAACUUUUCUGAGCGUCGCGUCGCCUUGUUGUUUAGGGACACCCGGGAACAGGUUUCCUAGGAUCCCAUCCUGGGAUACCGGAGACAGCCAACGUCCAGCCCCUGAACUUACCGUGUCUCCAAGGCCACCUGUCAAGCCACUUUGCAAUUAAAAGCUUCGCUUGUCUCCCCGGGUGACUCUGCUGUCAGUUCUAAAGCCCACACUGAAGAAGCUGGAAGAAAACACAGCAGGACGUUCACUGGUGGCUUCUGAGAGGUGGGGUUCCAGGGAUUUUAAAUGUUCCUCAUUUUCGAUUAUUUGUAGGUUUCUAUGUUUUCUCUAAUGAACGAUAUGGUGCUUUUUAAAGAAGGUAUGUUAUUCUAAAAUUAUUUGUAACGCCUGCAGAAUUUCGGCAGCACGACCCUGCGACGUAGGCAGCGCCCCCCGCCCUCCUCGUUUUCUUUUUAGACUUGAGGGAGACAAUUUCUGGGGGCUGGGCCUGGCUCCUCCUCCCCGGCUCCAUUCGGCCCGCCCCCUUGGCCACGCCUCACCUCGAUCCUUUUACUCCAGUACCGCCCCCUUCUCCUUCGGCUACCGCGAAAACUAGGAGAGGUGGAUUUUCAACACUGACGUUCCCCGUGGCUCUUGUAGCCAGACUGGGCAUGUUCCGCCGCCGGGUCAGGGACUGCUGACAGGAGAGAGGCGUCUUUAAGCAACUCUCAAUCUCCCUCCUUCUUCACUCUGUCCUUGGCGAACGAAACAAAGUAGCAUCUCCGACCCCCUGCCCAGAGCUCGGACCUGCAAAGUGGGUCAGGACUCGACUGAGCAUGCUCAGAACAGUGCCAGAAUGCCGCACGCGGCUGCAUCUCGUUGCCCAAGGUUGAUGUAGCUGCGCUCGCUAGUCACGACCUCGAAGAAGAGAACACUGAAGUGCAGAGGGAUAACAGGGAAGAGAUUUUACAGGCUUGUGGUGAAUAAACUCAAGAACCCAGAGAGAGCCUUGCAGUAAGGCCAGGUUCUUUUCCUUUGGACCACUCCAUUGUCCUACAAGCUUCAAGUGCCUGAAGUUUCUCAUGUUUGCCUUCUCUCCUCGGUGGGAUUGACAGCCAUUGUGUAAUCCAUGGGUUGAAGACUGAAGAGCAACAAGAAGGAAGGAACUACAGUCUCUGACUCACUGUUUGGACAGAGUUGCCUGCAGAUCACAUCUUUAAAAGUUUUAUGUGAGUCAGAAAUAAACUUUGAUUAUGUUAAGUCUUUGAGAAUGUUGUCUAAUACAAUCAUGAUAUUCAAAAGGAUUAUUACAUGGUAAAAAUCUGGGCACUGUCUGCUAAAGUAAGAUGAGUUGGGAGUGACAUGGUUUGGGCCAUUUUGGGGAAGAGAUUUCAAGGCAGAAGAUGGGUUUCUGUGUCCUGAAUAACAAUAAAAUGAAAACCAUCAUUUCUCCCAAUAUAGUGGAAAAGUUUGGGAAUGUAUUACAAGCAAGGGGCUGUAAGAGAAGGUGGGAGUAGUAAUAAUCCCUUUACAAGAUGACCAGGAUUGGGCUAAGGUUGAGAUCGUAAAGUUAGAGAUUAUUUAGAAAAAGAAAAGGUUACAUGCAACAGGAUAAAUGGGAUAUAUGGAGAACACUGAAAAAACUACAAGAAAGUCUGAGGAUAUAGACCUCAGCACCCAGCUCAGAGAUACAUACAAAUAAAUAGCCACUUAUCAAAUGUUCUUGAUGAUAAUGGCCUUGGCAGAAAAGCAAAGGAGACAUAAAACUGGUUUAUUAUACUAAUAUGUAUUUCUUUGAAAUAAGUCAGUACUUGUUAAGUACUUAGUAUGUAGAAUUAGUAGGAUUAGAACAAUGAAUAAAGAUGAGCCUUGUCCUCAAGUAAGAUGGUUAGAGAGGAUGCCUGACUUGAAGUCCAGGUAGUCGGUUUCCACGUCUAAUCUCUGGACAUGAGUUUUUCAACGUCCAGACCACCUCCUGUCUCAGGCACUAGCGUGGUCCUGUGCCAGCAUUAACACAAUCUGUUUGCUUGUACUUCCUGCUUCAAGACAAAAGUGAUCCUAGAAACAGAUCUUAGUGUUUACAAAGACUGGCAAAUGUGAUAAAAGAAUUAAUUCACGGAGAAAAGAUAUCUUAUUAGGUAACAAUUUUGAAAAUAUUUAGAUUUUUCACCUUAAUCAAUGCCCCCGAAUGAUAACUAAGUAGAUUUAAGUACAAAAUGAGAAAAAAAAACCCAAAAAACAAAAAACCUAGAAGUCCUUAUAGUCUGAUUUUAAGUGGAAAUAACAAGAUACAAACUUUUCUGUGUAAUUUUGACAAUGGAAAAUAAUUGCACAGCCAAAAUGCUAGAUUUAGACAAGCCCUUCAAGAAAAUAUAUUACAAAUGGUCACAAAAUUGGGGUAGGCUAUUUAAAAAAUUUUCAUUAUUCUUUUAUGUAUUUUCCAAGUUUGCUGCCAUGAGUGUGCUUUACUUUCUUAAUAAGGAAAAAAAAACCCUCUGCUCUUAGCUACUAAACUAACCAGUGGCUGGGAUGACCAUAUUAUUAUUAAUGUAGACCAGAAGAAUAAUUAUGUGACUCAACAAUCUAUUAUGAUUUUAAUAAUAUUACUAGAGACAUGAGAUCUAGAGAUAGGAGGUAACAUCUGACAUUAAAAUAUUAUGGGUUGGAGUGGAGGGCAACUUUUAUUUUAAGUAAGAAGUCAUGUUAAAGAAAAAGUACAACUCUUUUCCCCUUUUACCUCUUUCUUAAUGGCUUUUUCUUCAAUCAGUUGUUUUACAUCAUAAAUGCCCUUAAUUUUAAGCCAUAAAAACAUUCCAGCAGUAGGAACAUGCCAUUCUGCCAAACCUACAAACCAAAGAAGAGAAUAAAUAUCUGCUAAAGCCAGUUUUGAUGAUGUCAAAUCUGUUACUUAAUGAUGCAAUCGCAGUAACUGUCAACUAGUAUUUCUAAAAAUGUUCCUUCAGAGAUAGCAUUUUUAAAACAUAGAAUUUUAUGAGUCCUGACAAUUGAUGUUCUGAGUUUAUUUCACAAAUAAGAGAGGUGGUGAAGGUAGAGAGGGAGAUAUAUACAUGAGUAUAUAUUUCUAAUUGUAGUCAGUCUUAGGGUUGUGUGAGGAGUCUAUGGCCUAUGUCUACUUCCCAUAAUUAGAACCAUACAGAAGCCAAAUGUGGCUCUUUCAAAUUUAGGAGAUUCCUUAACUCCUACAUUAUUCCAGUGCUUCAAUAAAUCCUAUCUUUUAUGUAAUAGUUUUGAAGUCCAAUGGAUUAGAGUUUUUAUCAGAAUGUAAUUAAUUAUGAAAAGAAGUUCCUGAAAUUCAAGACCCACAUGCAUUUGUAGGCUUUAAGUUUCAUUGAGUAUUAGGAUAGAGAAACCAAGAAGGAAGGAUAAUUAUUUUGAUUUUAAUUAUCUUUUUUUAAAAGUCGCUUUUGAAUGAAACCUUUUCUUUAACUCCAUUAUACAAAGUGGUAGGAUAGUACUCUUAUCAAAAAGACAAUUCUGUAUUUGCCAAGAGCUUAUAAGAAACAAGAUAUGAUGGAAAUAAGGAACUGGUUUUUUUUUUUGUUGUUGUUUACUGUUAAUCAUACUGAAGGCUUUUUUAAUGAUGUAAUUAAAACCAUGUAAUUCAUUAGUAGAAAAUUAAAUCUAAACCAUCCUGCAAUCACAUUAGCAAUAGACAAUAUUAGAUAAAUGAGGUUAACGAUUAGAAUGCAAGUAAUCUGUAAUGAGAGAACUGCCUUAGAAUGUACUAUUUUGUUUUUCUACAGUCUGAUUAGAAAAGGAGUAUACUGUUGUUUGACAAUUCCUCAGCUGUUUGCGGGAAAUUUUGAAGUAACUCUAAAACCUUUUGAGUAUUGGCAUCAUUUAGCUUUAAGUUAUUGCUGAUGGGUUUUUAGACUAAAAGGUCCUUUUUUCUCCCUUUAAAACACAAGCUCUUCGCAGUGGACAGGUAAUGUAGAGAUAGGUAGAACAGUGCCAGGGUUUGGAGAUUGUUACUUUUGAGACUACUUACAGGGCACCAUUUCUUGGCAAGAAUACUUCUGGACUCUUGUUUCUUUUCUCCCAGGCUUAUUAUCAGUCACUAUGCGGUGUUUAUUCCCCACUCAUAAAAAUGCUAGUGUCUAUCACAGGACAGGAUAUAUGUUCCACUCACCACUUAACCAUUUGUCUGCAGCUGCCAGUAAUGCAUCCUUCUGCUUCCUAUAAAAAUCAGUAACCCUGGAAGAAACAAACAAUGAAAAGCAUGUGUUAAAUACAUGCUUGAUUGAAGAAACCCAAAGGCUCUGGAGUCCAGUCUAUAGGAAUCUGUUUUCCACCUUGUUUAAAAUGUUGAAUACUUGAAAUGGGAACACAGCAUGUUUGUUUACCUGUCUGCUGUGUGGGUGCAGCUUCCCAAUCCUUUGCAGACAUCAUUCUAGUCAGCCACUGCCAAGAAACUAGUUCAUAUCCCACAUGAAACCUACCUCAUAUCCCUUGUAUGAUGUUUAAAAAUCUAUGAACUAGAAUUUGGAGUUCAAGAAGACCAUCAGCCCUGGUUUACUGUUUGCCCAAAUGCGUGGUAUAGAGAGCUAGCUACUAUUUUAAAGGUAAGUCUAUUUCUGGAAAGAGCAGUAAUGCCAGACACGAGAGAUACCAAUUCUGUGAUAAAACUGAAAGAUUUAAGAUUGAAGUGGUAGCAAAUUACUAAUAAUUUUAUUUAAUUUCCACAUAAAGAUAGAUUAGCUCUGACUCAGCAGCCAGGCUAAAAUUAAAUCAGUGUAAUAACUUACAACUUACCUUCCAAUUGUGAAAUAAAUUCAUAUCACCACUUACCUUGUUGAACUGGAGAAAAUAGUAAGGAUCAUCUUCUAUUAUGAGGAAAUCAUAUUUUCUUGCAAGCUAAAAAAGGUUAAAGUCAUAUAUUUAAUUCUUAAGAACUGUCUAAGCUGACUGGAAUCAUAAUUCUUUGUAUCCAUCCAUCCAUCCAUCCAUCCAUCCAUCCAUCCAUCCAAGAAACUACUGAGUACUUAUUGUUGUAGAUAAUGAAGGUAGAGGGAUGAACAAGGCACUGAGGCCUCUUGUUCACAUGGAACUUACAUUCCAAGUUCUGGGAAAGAUGAUAUACAUAAGACCAUGGAUAACGAAGAGAAGAAAUACAGAUGAGAGGUUUUAGGGGCUAGGGAGAACAUUAAGCAGGGUGAUAUUGAGUGGGGGGUGGGGGCAGAGAGAGAGAGAGAGAAAGAGAGAGGAAGAGAAAGAGAUAGGGUAGCUAUUUCAGAGUGAAUUAUUGGGAAGCCUGUCCUGACAAGGUUAUGCAAGAGCUCAGAAUCACAGGAUGGAGCCAGUUGUGCAAAUGUCAAGGAAGAUUCUAAGCUGAGGGAUGAGUGAGACCAAAAGCCCUUGGGUGGGGAGGGAAAAAAAGAAAAAAAAACCUUGACAUGUUUAAGGGAUGGAAAGAAAGCCAGGGGGCUGCAGCAAGAAGGUGAUAAUAAAUGACAAGGCCUGAGAAGAGACUACCAGGUCACAUAGCUUUGGGAGGCAGGUGAAGGAAUUUGGAUUUUAUUUUAAUUGCAAGGGGACUGUAAACAGGAAGACCAUGAGACUGGCUUUACAUUUAUAUUUCAGCAGGGGAACGACAUAUAUGCCUGGUUGCUGUGUGAAGAAUAAUUGGUUGAAGAUCAAAACUGGAAUGCAGCAGGGGUCCAGUGAGGAAACCAUACUAGCAGACCAGUGAGGGAAGGUGGUGGCUGGGAAGAUGGUGGGACUAAGGGGAGAAGAGAGAAACAGGUGGAUUUGGAUCCAUUUGGUGGUGGAGU